UUAAUUUGCCUUUUCAGCCACCUCCGCAAUACUUAGGGAUGGGAUAAUGUGUGAUCCUGUGGUUCUGCAUCCCGUUGUAUCUUUGUGUGGGGCUUGUGUUUCCCCCUUUUUUUUUUCUUUUUUUGUAUUCCUUUGGACAGCAGUCAGGGAAGAAGAAACCCUCGUUUCUUUUGUGCUCUCAUGUUAAGCGUUGACAUGGCGCAGAUGAGAGCAUAUAAGAUUAAAUAAUUUUCUUUUUUCGUUUAAUUGAGGAUCAAAAUAUAGCCGAGGGGCGAGGAGCACUUCUAGUGCCCCUUGUGCCUGAUCCAAGGCGCCGAGGGCUAUAUCUGGUAUACCUUACACCUCAAGCACGCCUUUAACAACAAUGGUUAGGACAAAAUUAAAACAUGUGGAUCACAAACUGUAGUGUUAAGAUGCUAGAUGAUAUUCGGAUUAAAGACAAUGUGAGAUGAAAAAGAGGAAAAAGGGCCAGAUUAUCACAAGUUCACAACUAAGACUCUUUAAUGUAUCAGAGGAGGGAAUUCACUUGACUGAUGCAUAAUAAUCAGCUGCAAGGUUUCAUCAUAAGCCCAAAAAGAGAGUUAAACACAAAGCAGGUAUGCAACUAAGGGCCUGUCUCAUAGUAGUAACAAGUCCAGACACUGCAUGUAGCAGUGUUGUGAAAGGCGCUCGAGG
rnacentral:misc_RNA from 1 species